rnacentral:rRNA from 1 species
UACGAAGGGGGCUAGCGUUGCUCGGAUUGACUGGGCGUAAAGCGCGCGUAGGCGGCUUUGUAAGUUAGAGGUGAAAGCCCGGAGCUCAACUCCGGAACUGCCUUUGAUACUGGCGAUCUCGAGUCCGGGAGAGGUGAGUGGAACUGCGAGUGUAGAGGUGAAAUUCGUAGAUAUUCGCAAGAACACCAGUGGCGCAGGCGGCUCACUGGCCCGGUACUGACGCUGAGGUGCGAAAGCGUGGGGAGCAAACAGG